rnacentral:rRNA from 1 species
GAUGAACGCUGGCGGCGUGCCUAAUACAUGCAAGUCGAACGGAGUUGUUGUAGCAAUACGGCAACUGAGUGGCGAACGGGUGAGUAACGCGUUGGUGACCUGCCCCGAAGAGGGGGAUAACAGUCCGAAAGGAUUGCUAAUACCCCAUAAUGUCAUCAGGAUUAGAAUCUGGUGACCAAAGUCGUAAGACACUUUGGGAGGGACCUGCGUCCCAUCAGCUAGUUGGUAAGGUAACGGCCUACCAAGGCUAUGACGGGUAGGGGACCUGAGAGGGUGGACCCCCACAAUGGCACUGAAACACGGGCCAUACACCUACGGGUGGCAGCAGUAGGGAAUAUUGCUUAAUGUGCGAAAGCGCGAAGCAGCAACGCCGCGUGAGCGAUGAAGGCCUUCGGGUCGUAAAGCUCUUUUUCGGGGGGAUGAGGAAGGACAGUACCCCCGGAAUAAGUCUCGGCUAACUACGUGCCAGCCGCCGCGGUAAUAC